UCCUGGUUAGCUCAGUUGGUAAUGUGCUCCACUGGAAAUGAAGAUGUUCCUGGUUCGAUAUCGGGACCAGGCG
rnacentral:tRNA from 2 species